rnacentral:sRNA from 1 species
AAAAAUCCACAAAAAUAUUUAGAAACCAAACAUUGUUGAAAAUAUAUCUUAUUAUAUAAAGUAUGGUUUUCAAAGUUCCUAAUUCAUAGGAUUGUGCCAUGUGUCAAGUCAAACGAUCAGGUGUUUACAUGUGUCAUUCAAAAUUUAACUUUUUUAUUCUCUAAAAAAAUUGAAAAUCUUAAAAAGUAAACAAAUUUACAUAUACUAAUUUAUAUGUCUAUCUUAUUAUAUAAAGUAUGGUUUUCAAAGUUGCUAAUUCAUAGGAUUGUGCCACGUGUCAAGUCAAACGAUCAGGUGUUUACAUGUGUCAUUCAAAAUUUAACUUUUUUAUUCUCUAAAAAAAU